rnacentral:rRNA from 1 species
GACGAACGCUGGCGGCGUGCCUAAUACAUGCAAGUAGAACGCUGAAGGAGGAGCUUGCUUCUCUGGAUGAGUUGCGAACGGGUGAGUAACGCGUAGGUAACCUGCCUGGUAGCGGGGGAUAACUAUUGGAAACGAUAGCUAAUACCGCAUAAUAGUAGAUGUCGCAUGACAUUUGCUUAAAAGGUGCAAUUGCAUCACUACCAGAUGGACCUGCGUUGUAUUAGCUAGUUGGUGAGGUAACGGCUCACCAAGGCAACGAUACAUAGCCGACCUGAGAGGGGGAUCGGCCACACUGGGACUGGGACACGGCCCAGACUCCUACGGGAGGCAGCAGGAGGGAAUCUUCGGCAAUGGACGGAAGUCUGACCGAGCAACGCCGCGGGAGUGAAGAAGGGUUUCGGAUCGUAAAGCUCUGUUGUAAGAGAAGAACGAGUGUGAGAGUGGAAAGUUCACGCUGUGACGGUAUCUUACCAGAAAGGGACGGCUAACUACGUG